GCACGGUGGCUUAGUGGUUAGCACUUUCGCCUCCGACAUCCAGGGUCGGGGGUUCGAUUCCCACCAUGUCCC